GCGCCCGUACGCCAACUGGGGAGCGACGGCUUUUAGGUAGCCGUGUUGUGUCGGUUCGAGUCCGACCGGGCGCACCG
rnacentral:tRNA from 1 species